rnacentral:rRNA from 1 species
UACGGGGGGCGAAGCGUUGUUCGGAAUCACUGGGCUUAAAGGGCGCGUAGGCGGGCGACCAAGUCGGGGGUGAAAUCUUUCGGCUCAACCGGAAAAUAGCCUUCGAUACUGGCCGUCUGGAGGGAGGUAGGGCGUGUGGAACUUCCGGUGGAGCGGUGAAAUGCGUUGAUAUCGGAAGGAACUCCGGUGGCGAAAGACGACACGCUGGACCUCAUCUGACGCUGAUGCGCGAAAGCCAGGGGAGCGAACGGGG